rnacentral:rRNA from 1 species
UUCCGGUUGAUCCCGCCGGACCCUACUGCUAUCGGGGUAGGACUAAGACAUGCAAGUCGUGCGUCUCUAGGCUAUGGUAGAGACGCGGCGUACGGCUCAGUAACACGUGGCUAACCUACCCUCAGGACGGGGACAACCCCGGGAAACUGGGACUAAUACCCGAUAAGUGAGGAGGCCUGAAAUGGUUCUUCGCUAAAAGGACGUUGAAACCAUGCUUCUCAACGUUGCCUGAGGAUGGGGCCGCGUCCGAUCAGGUUGUUGGUGAGGUAAUGGCCCACCAAGACUAUUACAGGUACGGGCUCUGAGAGGAGUAGCCCGGAGAUGGGUACUGAGACACGGACCCAGGCCCUAUGGGGCGCAGCAGGCGAGAAAACUUUGCAAUGUGCGAAAGCACGACAAGGUUAAUCCGAGUGGUUUCUGCUAAAGAAACCUUUUGUCAGUCCUAGAAACACUGAUGAAUAAGGGGUGGGCAAGUUCUGGUGUCAGCCGCCGCGGUAAAACCAGCACCUCAAGUGGUCAGGAUGAUUAUUGGGCCUAAAGCAUCCGUAGCCGGCUCUGUAAGUUUUCGGUUAAAUCUGUACGCUCAACGUACAGGCUGCCGGGAAUACUGCAGAGCUAGGGAGUGGGAGAGGUAGACGGUACUCGGUAGGAACGG